AGAGUUUGAUCCUGGCUCAGAAUGAACGCUGGCGGCAUGGCUAAGACAUGCAAGUCGAACGGACUAUUUUGAAGAGUAAUCGGAUCUAUAGUUAGUGGCGAAAGGGUGAGGAAUAGAUAGGUAACGUACCUUUGGCUUCGGAAUAGCCCAUCGAAAGGUGGGGUAAUGCCGGAUGAUGUCCCCCGUUUAAUGCGGAUGACCAAAGAUUUAUCGGCCAAUGAGCGGCCUAUCUCCUAUCAGCUAGUUGGUGAGGUAAUGGCUCACCAAGGCGACGACGGGUAGCGGGACUGAGAGGUUGGCCCGCCACAUCGGGACUGAGACACUGCCCGGACCUCCACGGAGGGCUGCAGUAACGAAUAUUGGGCAAUGGGCGAAAGCCUGACCCAGCAAUGCCGCGUGUAGGAUGAAGCCUUUCGGGGUGUAAACUACUUUCAGGGAUUAGAAAGCUACGGUUGAUCAAUCCCAGAAGAAGUCACGGCUAACUUCGUGCCAGCAGCCGCGGUAAGACGAAGGUGGCAAGCGUUAUUCGAAAUCACUGGGCUUAAAGGGUGCGUAGGCGGAUAUACAAGUGUCUUGUGAAAUCCCUCGGCUUAACCGAGGAAUUGCUUGGCAAACUGUAUAUCUUGAGGCAAGUAGGGGUGUGUGGAACUCUUGGUGGAGCGGUGGAAUGCGUAGAUAUCAAGAGGAACGCCGAAGGUGAAGACAGCACACUGGACUUGUACUGACGCUGAGGCACGAAAGCGUGGGGAGCAAACAGGAUUAGAUACCCUGGUAGUCCACGCCGUAAACGAUGUAUACUAGGUUGCGGAGGUUCUGACACCAUCGCAGUCGUAGCAAAAGUGUUAAGUAUACCGCCUGGGGAGUACGGUCGCAAGGCUAAAACUCAAAGGAAUUGACGG
rnacentral:rRNA from 1 species